ACAUGCCUACAACAUAGUGUUAAUGCACUUGAUCCCAUUAGAACUCCGUAGUUAAGCGCGCUUGAGCUAGAGUAAUACUGGGAUGGGUGACUACUUGGGAAGUCCUAGUGUUUUACAUGCC
rnacentral:rRNA from 1 species